rnacentral:rRNA from 1 species
AGUGAACGCUGGCGGUAGGCCUAACACAUGCAAGUCGAACGGCAGCACAGUAAGAGCUUGCUCUUACGGGUGGCGAGUGGCGGACGGGUGAGGAAUACAUCGGAAUCUACUUUCCGUGGGGGAUAACGUAGGGAAACUUACGCUAAUACCGCAUACGACCUACGGGUGAAAGCAGGGGAUCUUCGGACCUUGCGCGAUUGAAUGAGCCGAUGUCGGAUUAGCUAGUUGGCGGGGUAAAGGCCCACCAAGGCGACGAUCCGUAGCUGGUCUGAGAGGAUGAUCAGCCACACUGGAACUGAGACACGGUCCAGACUCCUACGGGAGGCAGCAGUGGGGAAUAUUGGACAAUGGGCGCAAGCCUGAUCCAGCCAUACCGCGUGGGUGAAGAAGGCCUUCGGGUUGUAAAGCCCUUUUGUUGGGAAAGAAAAGCAGCAGGUUAAUACCCCGCUGUUCUGACGGUACCCAAAGAAUAAGCACCGGCUAACUUCGUG